rnacentral:rRNA from 1 species
CGCCUGGGGAGUACGGCCGCAAGGCUAAAACUCAAAGAAAUUGACGGGGGCCCGCACAAGCGGCGGAGCAUGCGGAUUAAUUCGAUGCAACGCGAAGAACCUUACCAAGGCUUGACAUGAACCGGAAAGGCGUAGAAAUACGUCCCCCACUUGUGGUCGGUUUACAGGUGGUGCAUGGUUGUCGUCAGCUCGUGUCGUGAGAUGUUGGGUUAAGUCCCGCAACGAGCGCAACCCUCGUUCUAUGUUGCCAGCACGUGAUGGUGGGGACUCAUAGGAGACUGCCGGGGUCAACUCGGAGGAAGGUGGGGAUGACGUCAAAUCAUCAUGCCCCUUAUGUCUUGGGCUUCACGCAUGCUACAAUGGCCGGUACGAAGGGUUGCGAUACUGUGAGGUGGAGCUAAUCCCAAAAAGCCGGUCUCAGUUCGGAUUGGGGUCUCCAACUCGCCCCCAUGAAGUCGGAGUCGUUAGUAAUCGCAGAUCAGCAACGCUGCGGUGAAUACGUUCCCGGGCCUUGUACACACCGCCCGUCAAGUCACGAAAGUUGGUAACACCCGAAGCCGGUGGCCUAACCCCUUGUGGGAGGGAGCCGU